rnacentral:rRNA from 1 species
AUGGGAACGCGAAGAACCUUACCUAGACUUGACAUCUUCUGCAUUAAUCGUAAUGGAUGAAAUCCCUUCGGGGACAGAAUGACAGGUGGUGCAUGGUUGUCGUCAGCUCGUGUCGUGAGAUGUUGGGUUAAGUCCCGCAACGAGCGCAACCCCUAUUAUUAGUUGCUAACAUUAAGUUGAGCACUCUAGUGAGACUGCCCGGGUUAACCGGGAGGAAGGUGGGGAGUGACGUCAAAUCAUCAUGCCCCUUACUGUCUAGGGCUACACACGUGCUACAAUGGUGGGAACAAAGAGAUGCAAUACCGCAAGGUGGAGCUAAACUCAAAACCCCAUCCCAGUUCGGAUUGUAGGCUGAAACUCGCCUACAUGAAGCUGGAGUUGCUAGUAAUCGCGAAUCAGAAUGUCGCGGUGAAUACGUUCCCGGGUCUUGUACACACCG